rnacentral:lncRNA from 1 species
AUUGGGCUUAGCCAACUAUUAUACGUAUCUCCCAACUUCAACGCUUUUCUCUCUCAAUUGAAAUUGGAGUCUGAUUCUAACAGUUUCCAAAAGUCGGAUUUUUCACCACUGUUAAAGGCUGUCUAUGAAAACAUGAACUUGUGUGAUGAGUUUCAUAAUGAAACACACAGAUUCCGAAAGUCAUAACUCAAGUCUUGUUGUUACAGAGGAUUAUACUUUUAUUUUUGAAUGUGAAAACAUAUACAAAUGAACAAGUGUCUCAAGGAGACAAUGGACCUGAAAACAGUGACACAACAGAACUUGUGUCAUCACGAUUAAGCCUAAAGACAGGACUUCCACUUCCAAAUCCACCAUUCAUGCUUCGAUUUGAUAUUCGCCUAUUGCUGCUAGCUGGCCUUGCCAUGUAAAAAUUAUCUCCCUCAGCCACAGGUUGUGGAAUGCUCAUCUUCUUCAUUUCCUGCAUUUUAUUGUCAAUCAGCUUAUUGUAUUCUUGCAACAUUGCAACAAGAGGUACCUGGAUAACUCUUAACAGGUUUCGAUGAGCAUUUCUACUUACUGAGUACCGAUUCUCGUCCUGUGACAACGUUAGUGUUUCUUGUAUGAGUUAGACUACAGAGAUAACAUUUAGUUACUUUCAUAGAAAAGAGAUUGGAACCUGGUCAUAUUCUUCUAGCCAGCGCUCUUCAUCACUUGCCAACAUCCACCUAUCAACUUUUUCAAUUAUUCCUUUUCUACUUGCUGCUUCUUCCUUUGCUCUUGCUAUCUUUUCAUCCAUGGCGGCUAGAAGGUCAACAUGGUCAACUUCCCCUUUGAAAUAGAGGACAAAACUCUGCAAUGAGUUUGACAUGUAUAACAAAGACACGCAGCAGUUGCAGAAAGUUACAAUUAGUCAAACCAGAGUCUACAAGUUGAUCUAGUCUCUUGACUUCAGCCUCAGCCUUGGGAAAAAUUUGCACAAAGAAAAGGCGGUUACCACCAGCCAUCAUUGGAGCACACACGUCUGAUGGUGCGGACGACAGUAAAUCAAUGACAUGAAAAAACUUUUGACGAUCUUCAUAAGAUGCAUCCAUCAGAUUCCACAGGUUCGAUAAAGCUCUACCAAGAUGGUGAAGCUGCACACAUGAUGUCUUAAAAGUUCAGAUAAGAUAACAACCUCUUUUCUCUUUGAUAAAUGUGCAUCUCUUUACUGAUUUGUGUUUCAACUUAUAUCUGUUAAGUUUUAUGUUCUUAGGAUAGAUAAUGAAUUGAAACAUUUCUAGUUAGCUUCACCUUUUCAAGGCGCUUGUGCUUUUCCUCUUCCAGAGACACAACAGUGCCAUUAAGCUUUUUUAAGAUAUCAUCACUGAUGUUUUUGGAUAUUCCAUAGAGGUCGUUCAAGCUUGGGUGAAUCUUUGUUAUGAUCAUUGAUGCUUCUGUUCCCAAUGUUGCUGAUAGAUCUCGAAUGGCGCAUAUGUAUAUAUCAACCUUCUGUAGUCUCUCAUUCUUGUGUGACAGAACAAUGAAAGACAACAUGAUGGAGAAGCCAAAACUGUCUGAUAAGUAAAACACAUGCAUGUUGACCAAAAAAAAAACAUUGUUCCCAAUUUGGUAUUACAAAAUGUACCUUCUCAUCAUGGAGUCUAUGCAGUUCAUUCUGAUAUUCCUCAAGUUUUUUAUUAGAAAGAUCGUUGUCAUCUAUGGUUAUCUUUCUAGUUGAGUCUUCAUAUGUCGAUCUACCUGCUAUUUCUGCUGAUAUUUUCUGAAUUUCCCCUUUGACAGAUCGGAACUGCUUCACUCUCUCGUCUUUCCUAAGCCUCAUCUCACGCAGUGCAGGCGCAAUAGAAUCCAGCUGCUCCCUCAGUGUUCCUCCCUUUUUCUCCGGCUGUAUAGAGAAUGACAACAAAAUUAUCUAUGAUAGGUACUGAUCUUUCACCGAGGCACAAAAGAAAAUGGGUGAGUUCGGCUUCAGAUUCUGCCAGCUCUUGAUGUAGACGAGACCUCGAAACAUUGGCAUGGUCAACUUUUCUCCGGACGUAUCCAACAACGAUGAGCUUCUCAUUUCUAUCGGUGUCUGAAGCGAACCCAUAUUCGGAUGGAUAAUUCUGCAAUGUUUUCUUUUCUUUUCUGCAGCAAUUGAGGUAUUAGCUUUGUGCUAUUGGUGCAGGUUUUGCUUUGAAGACAAGUGUGAAAGUGACACAUAUUCUGCUACAGAAGCUUCUUGUUUAAGUGAAGGCUCAUCCGCAUCUCCCUCCUCCUCUUUGAUUCUUCAGUUUAUGUCUCUUUCUCUUUCUCUCUCUCAACUUCAUCUGAAUUUGGUAAAGCUUAGAAGUCGCUUUUGUGCUGAUGCGUUUGCUUCUGCUGUAUGAAAAGCCAGAGAGAGAUGUUUUUUUUUGUAUAUACUACACAAAACUUGAUUCGUAAGCAAACCUGUAGUGCUAACUUUUUUGCUUAUUACUGUUUUAUCUGAACACAAAAUCGAAAUAGACAGAGAUUCUUCACCAUGUGGGUUCUUACAACAUAGCUUCUUUUUCUUUGUGGCUUAGAUUUUGGUUAUCAAGUUCUUUCUGAAUUUCCCCCCCCCCCCC